UGCAUUUUUCUUACUUUCUGCAGAAUUUCCUGCAAAAUUUUACUGUAGUUUAAGCUGCGUUUCCUGCAGAUUGUGUUCACAGACCAAUGGGAGACAAGUAUUUCUUCAUCAACAGGUUUAUUCGCCAUCAAUUGGUCUAGCUGGUGUUUUUCGUAUGCGCAGCUUAUGUCACAGCUGCGUAAGAACACGUUCGCCUUAAAUCAUGAUGGGUAUUUCUUUUCGGAAUAUCAAAGGUCAAUGUUGAUGUGUUUCAUAAGAUUUGUGGUGGCGGGAUUAUCGUCAUUAACUAAUUACUUGAUAUCAGAUUUUAAUGGGGAGUGGUGUAAUUCCCGCACGACUGUUGACUUUCAUUGUAAUUGCCUGAGCUGGUUCCUGGGCCGCCUCAGAUAGCAGGAUGGUGUGUCAAGUAUCAACUUGACAGGAAGGCUUUCCGGUUAUGACUGAGGCCGGCAUCUCACCUGUCCUGGCUACGCCAAAUCACUGCGGAUGCCGGAUGCCGAGGACCGGAGAGCCAACCGCUUUGAGGCGUGAGCUCUGUGGCGUGGCUCGAGUGACGGCUACGGCGCCGUCGACCUGGUUGAAUAGCUGGGGCCUGGACGAGGGUGCCCUUAGUACGGUGGCCAAUCGGUUACGUCCGAGGGGCGCUCGAACACGCUGCCGUCGCGUGGCUGCCGGCGGCCGCCCCCUCGCACGUGAAUCUUCUGGAGCGAGGACUGCGAGAGGUGGCCGCAUCAUCACCUGUGUCCGCGCUCAACACCGUGCCACGCACUAAUGGCGGAAGCCCGACUUUCUCCGAUGGAGGAGAGAAGCUGGACGCUGGCUGCCAGGCUGCUGGGGAGGGCGCUGGCUCUGCCAUCAGGGGACCCCCUGCGCGCGACCGCCAAGGCCUCGGCACCGGCGCGCCUGUCUUCGGUCCGAGGCUGGAGAUUGCGAGGCCGCCAGGCUUGGGCGAGAGCGAGAAUCCCACCGUGCCAACAGACGGCUGGCGUCACCUUCCGGUUGGACGUGUGCCCGAUCCGGGCUGGGGCCACGGCGGCGGAAAGGGAAAGCGUGGCUACGCUGCACCUCGCGUUCCUGCCCCCUGUGUGCUGUCCGGCUUUGGACGGACGGAUCUGCGGAGGGCGGAGUCUUCAGGUGCUGGGCGGGAGCCGUGCUGGUCUGGCUGUAUUUGUAUUUGUAUUUGUAUUUACAUUUAAGAGCGAUCCACAUACAAAGUGCGUGGCGAUUACUGCUCAGAAUCCGUAUCCGCGGCUGCUGAUCUAAUCAUUCAAAACAUUUGCACAUUCACUCACGUCAAAACAAGGACAAGGCUGGACGAAGAGGCCGAGGAACUGCGGGCCCCGGCCGGAGAGCUGUGCUUUAGCUACCGCGCGGAGAUGGUGGCGCUGGUGACCGGUCCGGAGACCCUACUCGGAAGAGACAGAGACCAGGACCUGCGUUCCGUACCUAUCUGCUAACUGUGCGGUGGUGCUGGUGUAGUGCAUCAUUUUUGGAUGGAUAGCUACAUUUCACGAUUAAAUAGCUGGUACGUUUCAGUGCAGGUGGCGUGACGAACAAUGUGGUAGUUAUCUGUUGGCCACUUCUGCGGCCGCUGCUAUUUCCUACUCGAAGGCGGGCGCGCUGUUUGGCUGGGCCGCCAGGAUGUUCCCAUUAUGUGUCGACGACAAAGCGAGUGUAUUCGUGUUCUUUUAAUGCACAGAGGUCUGUUGUUGUAUAUUUGAAGUUUUAUUUUAAGUUGGCGAUUGCGAAGGGCAGAUUCAUCUUCUCUCUUUCAUUUGUGUUGCCACUUUAUCGUUCAUGUUUGUUAUAAGUGUCCAUGCGGCUUGGUUGUCAUCUUUAUUCCUGAUGUAUUUUAUUUUACGAACAUGCUGGUGAUCAAUGCAAUACACUUUUGGUUAAUAA